UUGAUUAUAGCUAUAAGCUCACUUUUGAAUCUUACCAAAGAGACGCAUCUUCUCUCUCACACAAAAACUCAACACCUCUCUUUCUUCGUCACACUCUCUCUCAAGUAAAAUCUCCAUCCAUGAAAAUAUUUUUCUUCUACCUUCUUUCAUCAUUUCCUAUCAAUUUUGGCCUCCUCCCACUAAAAUAAAGCCAUCAUCAUCUUCAUCUCUUCAUCCUCUACAAAAGCAACUCAUUCAUUUAUACAUUCUAUCAAGUUCAAUUUUGAUACCACCAUUGACCACCGCGCUGAGUUUUAAAUGUUGGUUCUGUUACUAGAUGAAAGAAUGAGAUAGCAACACACACUUCUGGGGAGGAGAUGACAUCACUUGGAAUUAGAACUUUUUGAAACCAUGUUCAAGGGAGUCAAUGGAUAGAACACUACAAGUCAGAAUGCCAGCACUUUCAAUGACUUUUGUCAUCCUCCUUCUGCAGAAGAAAUCAGAAUAGGGACAUUAAUUACUCACUACAUCUUGGCUGUAUUUAUUUGGUUCCUCCUGUGAAUGAUUGUUGGAGCAGUUAUUUGCAUGGAAUCAUAAGGAUUGAUGGUUUAGCGGAAAUUGGAUGAUACUGUGGGUCAGUUCCAAUGUUUGGUUUUCUCAUGUCUUAAUUCAGGUCAGUACCAAUGUGUGUGUCUCUUCGAAUUUUGUUAAAACAACUUAGUUGCAAAUGACCAAUGAAGUUGCGUGGUUGAGUUUUAGAACUCUUGAAUGUGGUUAAGUACAUUGAGUAAUUUCUAUAUGCUGAGCUAUGCAACCAAUGUUUUAAAACUAUGUUUUGUGAGCUUUUAUUCUAUCUCUAUAUCAGCUUUUUGUUUAUUUACUUGACAAUACUUAUGAUAUACUUGAGUAGAAUUAAACAAUAUGUUGCUUUAAUAAUGACUUGGUUUGCCUAUUUUUUUUAUUCUUAUAUAUAACAAUAGUAACUCAACAAUGAAGUCAAUUACCUUUGAUGCUUAAUCCUACAAUAGUAAUAAUGUUUUACUUACAUACCUACGAUAUGAGGAUUACCGGUGCUCAAGGAUUCCCCUGUUAUUUGCACUGGUUGUGUGGUUGGAAAGCGGCACAGGGAAGCUAUUCCCCAAAGAUGAGUUCUUGGAGAGUUGCUCAAAGACUUGAUAUCUAUAGCUGCUUUUUGUUUAUUUACUUCCUUUAUUUUAUUUCAAUUAAUCUUUGUAAACAUAGACAAAUUACUAUUUGACUUAAACACACUUUAUGUUUAUCCAUUUUAUUGGGAUAACCCCAAAAAAUACGAGGCUUUGAUAAUCUUCCUCCUCAUAGUGUAACUUGAAUAGUUACUAAAAUGAUAGAGAGACAACUAUUCUUAUGGGUAAACAAAUAA